GUCUUUCCAAAAUUAUGCGUGCAGGCUUUUGUGGCCACAUUAAAGACAUCCUUAACUCUUAGUUCUUUUUUUUUUUUCUUGUAUUCAUACUGACAAAGUGUGAGACUUGUGAUACAAGGGCUGAACCUCAUUAUGGAUUUCUCUUGAAUUGAUACUGACAAAGUGUGGUAAACUUGUGAUAUAAGGGCUGAACCUCAUUAUGGAUGGGCGGAUGUGGUGGGAAAUUCAACUCAGUUGCUGUCCAUCCAACCCAUAGAGAGACCUCCAGGGGUUUAUCCAAAUCUUGAUUUUGGUCCAUCACCACCAUUACCUGCAG
rnacentral:lncRNA from 1 species